rnacentral:lncRNA from 1 species
ACACGAGGCAGCAAAUCCGAACAGGCAAAGGCCUCACUCUCCAGUGCAGUCUGGGAGGACUGAUCAGGGAAGAACAGAUCAGGGUGAAGAACAGAAAGUUGCUCCCUGAACUCAGUGGCUCUGCCGCAGCAGGGAGAUGGUCUGAAGGACAGGCGUGGGGGCAGAAGAAGACCCCAAGGCAUCUCCCCAAGAUGACCACAGUUGUCCCUGAAGAAGCAGUCACAGCAAGCUCACUUCACAGGAACCAAGCUGUGGGCUGAUCCUACAGACUUGAAAAGACAACUCAAAAAGAUUGUCUGUGGGGUCAGAAACAGCUCUGGAGGGGUCUGCAGAAAUUACUUUCCCAAGUCUUUGGGCUGGAAGGAACGAACAGUGCCUGACCAAGGACUUUGAGCAGGAGAGAGAUGGGAGCAGAGAGGAGCCAAGGUCUACUAUUUUCACUUCUGUCAAUUAGAUCAAAGCCCUGCCCAGAAGCUUUGAGCGCCGCUGUCAAGUCCCAUUCCUCCCCUAAACCAUCCAGGUUCCAUCUGCCUUGAAGCCAAAGGAUCUUCUUAGAUUCCUCAAGAAAAAUUCAGGCCCCGAGUUUCUCCACCAGCACUCUCCUCUCCCCGAAGGAGUGGGUGGGCUGCAUUUCUCUUCAUAUUCUAUUCCAUUCCAGACCGUCUUGGACUACCAGCCUGUCCGCCACCCCUCGGGGCCCUCCCUCCUACUCUGCCCUUGCCCGCUGAGGUCCCAAGCUGAGGAGAUGAGCCGAGCAGUAAAAAGAGAGGAGGUUUGGAAAAGCAAUGUCCUCUCAGUCUUUAAUAGGUGGCCCCCCUGGGAACCUGCUGGAAGUGGAAGUUAAUAAGCUGAAGGUGGUCACAACCAAUCUCUGCCACACUCGCACCCUACCCCACCCCAAAUCAUUCCUUUUAAUUAAUAGUGGAAGACCUUUUUAAAAAUGUAACAUGAAUUGGCUAUUUCUUGAGGCAAACAAAAGGUGGCUCUGAAGCGAUAUAUUUGUACUCGUAUAAAUUCAUUAAAAUAGAAAGCUUAUAACCAUCCAGGUUUCACUGACAGCCCCAGUCCAUCUACAUGCAGAAAUGGUCCCUCCAAAGCCCUCUACGACAAUUAUUCUCACAGAUCGUCAUGAUAAACUGUAAGGGAAUAUACUAAGAAAGAGGGAAGAAGAGAGGAGGAGUCCAUUUUUAAUUAGUGGUUGGAAAUAGAGUAAAAAUUAGAGGGCCUUAGGUUUAAAACACAGAUGUGCAUUGUGAUCGUCUGAAGGAAGAGCUGUUGACAGAGAAAACAAGGUGGUGAACUAUGCCCUUGGCCUGUGACAGUUAGGUGAGGGUUGCUCACCGCAGAAGACAGACCGGUAGAGCCCAGCAGGAAAGAGGGUAUCAGGCUGGAAGAAGUGCAGUUUGGCCCUGGCGGAGUGGUGGAGUGGCUGGAGCGACUGCAGGAGGAGGAUAGAUCUGGAAGCAGGUCUGGGCUAUACUUUGGCCUCAGCCAGGGAGCCAGAGAAGGAAGGCUUGGGUUCGAGGGGGGAAAUCAUUCUCCCAAAUUGCUUUCUCAGAAGCGCCAAUUCAGAUCACCUGAAGACAGGGUCUGGGCCCCAUUACAGCAUGGUUCCCAAAUGGGAGUGUGCUUGGAAGCCUUGGUGAUUAAAGGGUGCUGACUAAAAGAGUCAAACUCUGUAAAAUAUUUGAAGAGAUUUAUUCUGAGCCAAAUAUGAGUGACCAUGGCCCAUGACACAGCCCUCAGGAGACCCUGAGAACAUGUGUUCAAGGUGGUCGGGGUACAGCUUGGUUUUAUAUGUUUUAGGAAGGCAUGAGACUCAAUCAAAGACAUUUUAAAAAUACAUUGGUUUGGUUCAGAAAGGUGAGACAACUCAAAGUGGGGGCUUCCAGGCUAUAGGUAAAUUUAAACAUUUUCUGACUGACAAUUGGUUGGGUUUAUCUGGAGACCUGGGAUUAAUGGAAAGGAAGGUUCAUGUUAAGAUACAGAACUGUGGGGACCAAGUUUUAUUGUGCAGAGGAAUCUCUCAGAUAGCAGACUUCAGAGAGAGAGAGAGCAGGUUGUAAAAUGUUUCUUAUCGGACCUAAAAGGGUACCUGGCUCUUAGUUGAUUAUCUCCUGGAUCUGGGAAGGAAGGAAGGAAAACAAAGGGGAAAGGAAAUAUUUCCUAUAGAAUAUGGAUUUUUCCCACAAGAGACUUUGCAGGACAAUUUCGAGAUAUGGCAAGGAGAUUUAUUUUGGGGUAAAACAUUUUGAUUUUCUUCCUUGUUAUGCCACAGUCAGAUUGGAAAGUCAGUCAUGAUAUACAGGGUCAGAUAAAAUCCGUCUGAUGAGAAUGUAUGGUUGGUAGGGCAUGACUCCCCAGACCCCUUAGAUAGGAAUCUGGGCAAGAUAAAAAAUCGGAGCUUAGUCCUCAAGGGAAGGGGCAGCAGCGCUGUUGGCGGGCUCACCAAGCAUCAGUACUGGAUCACCAGGCUUGGGAGAGUAGGGGUGUCAAGGCCCCAAGAGCAGGGAGGGCCUUGGCCCCACUAGGGGGGCAUCAGAAAGCAGGGAGCACUUGUAGUUCACCAUGAUUCCCCUCAAAGCCCUGGGCCAGCCUCCUGCAGGGAAGGCGGGCAGGAAGUCUUCCCCAUAGGGGCAGGCUUGCUUUUUUGGCCAGCCAUCCUCUUCAUAUGAAAAACAGCAUCUUGUCAUUUCUAGAUGUUUCUACUUUGGUUGACUCUUUAAUUUUUCUGCAGUUAAAAGCCUUAAAACAGCAAGGAAGCAGGGGACAGGAGGGGAGCCCAGAUCUCUCCCAAAGAAAAGGAGAAAGACUGAAUCCUUGAGGCCUGCCGUACAAAGGAGUGGUGGGUUGGAGGAGGGUAGGCAGAGACUAGGGUGGUCUGGGACUUUAAGUACAAGGCCCCGUGGAUUUCAUUGGGGGGCAAGCCAUGUGCAACAGGGAAGCUCAGGAACCGGGGGGUUUCGCACAGAGGUCUGGUGCUGUGAGGUACAGGGAAAGAAUUAGUGGAUCUGGACCAGUGGAACAUUGGUUUAGUGUAAUCUCUGAUUUGUGUUGAGUGAAUUUGAGUAUAGUCCAACCACCACCCCCCUACCCCAACUAAACCAUGUGCCCCUCAGGAGCUGGGACUCUUCUAUUUUCUAUUCCUUAUAGCAGGCUCAGUGCCUGACACACUACGUUGAAUUUUAUUUUAAACAUUUCAUUUACAUUAAAUGGUAUAUUUGCAAGUUCAUUCUUCCAGACCUCAGUUUAUUCUUUUAUCUAGUCAUUUUAAAGGGAUUCUCUCAGACCCUCCACUAGCUAAGAGAACCGAACUUUUCUUCCAGAAUUGUCAGGAAAUGGGACUUACUGACUUAGUGAGCUACUUAUUUUAUCUAGAAUUAACUGUGUCUAAUAAAAUAUAUAUGCACUUUGGGAAUGGAUGAGGUGCUACACAAAUGAAAGAUGGUAUUAUUCAUCAUACAGUGUUUUUGAUUAUAAUAGAUUAUUCUCUGCCAAAACCCAGAAGGGCCAAGUCGAGGUAGGUUGCUGAAAGGGGAGGAAGUCUAAAUAGCAGAAUCAGACUUUUCCAUAAGUUUGCAGUGGCGUAUGGACAACACUCAGGCAACCAGCCCUCGGCACAGCAACAGGGGACCCACCUCCUAAGUUGGGGCUGAGUAAAGACAUAUUCCCGGGGCAAGGCUUUGCCAAGGCAGGCCUCUUCUGAAACAUAAGUCCCAUCUUUCUCCCGGCCCCGCCACCCCACCUCAGAUGUGCUGUCUAGAAGCUGCACAUCUGGGGCCGUUCAAACUCCUGGCUCGAAUCACUGGAAUCAUCUGAGCAGGAUAAUUUUACAUUAAUGAUUAAAAAUUGCUCUUCUAGAUAUAGCCUUGCCUCAGGGUAGCCAUUAAGAACAUUACUUCGUAAUUUAAGAAGCUCAAUGUAGGGCGCUUUGGGCAUUUGCAAAGAGGGAACUGUACUCAUAUCUUGAUAAAUUGCAAAAUGUCUCCCACCAUCUUCUUGUUCUGUAUCUCCUCUUCUGCCUUCUGCCAUUGCACUCUCUGGCAUAUAAUCCUUUUAAAGAAUAAGAACAAAAACAAAAAAAAAAGGAAGAUAAUGAAAAGCCUAUUGUUUCUUAGUGUCCGCUGAUGUUAAACACGCACACGCAUGCACAAUUAUGAAUUUUGUGUAUUUCUUCCGGGGGAUGGAGCCAUAAAGGGUUACACUUUGGUAUGUGAUUUUGGAGCCUACACUUGAAAUGGGAAUUUGAAUGUAGUUGAACAGACUUUUAACAUUGCCCCGAGAAGAAUGAUACUGGCAUUUGCUUGUCUGCGGUGUCACACCCCGGAGUGUGGAGGAUCCUCACCGGCUCUGUGACUCACCCUGGAAGUUGCACCUUUCUCGGGGGGCAGGGUGGGGAGUUACUUUUUAUAAGUAAACCCCAGAGAGCAGUGUUUCCGUAUCAAUCAGUUUCUCAACAAGUUUGAGAGCAGAUUGUGCCUCAAUCCCUAUCGUUGGGGAUGCUCUCCAAGCUCUCCGGGGUGCCGCCAAGCCAGGAUCUCCCAUUCUGAUGCAUCCUGGGUCUCCUCUUCCCUUGCCCCUCUUCCUUGUUCUCCACUCUGAGCCAGCUAGACAGGUGAAGCAGAGAACCUGUCUAGUCCAAACUCCUUAUUUUACAGAUCAGGAGCGUGAGGCCCAGAGAGGGAUUGCCCUUACCCCAUCCUGCAUCCCCUCUCCUCCUCUUCUGCCUUCACCCCAAUACCUUCCAGCGUGAAUGAUGCCCACCCUGUCUCUCUUCUAGCCCCGCAUCCUGCAUUACUCUUUUCACAAUAUUUUUGAGUAAGUGGCCUGCUGCAAUCUUAUAUUUGGCAUGGCAAAGGCAGACCCCUUUCCCUCCCUCCAGACCCCCAGCUCAGCCACUGUGAGUGCUGUAAGGCCAGUCCCCACCUGUGUCCUUCUAUUCAUCACAAACUAAGCACAUGCUACUUUAUCUUUUAUCUCCUCGUGUCCACAAAACAGGCCACAACCAAGGUCAUGCUGCCAAACAGAUCUGGGAGAAUGGUAAUUGACAAUUCACGCUAAAAAUUGUGUUGAACAAAAAUUCUCUUCUAUUAGAAAAAUGACAGGAGAGACAACUUUGCCAUUAUGUUGCUUUCUCCUCAAUCGGGACACACAAAAAAUCUCAAUAAAAAUGUUAUAUCAAAGGCUCGCAAACAUCAUUCAAAUCUUCCCUAACCCAUUGCUUUCAUUUGAAAAACGAGCAUUUCAUUAAAGACACUUGACAGGAUGUUAAUUUGUUGUGGGAAUCUGUCAGUGUCCAAACAAAUACUUGCAUGUUUUGUGCAGAUGAGGUAACCGCUUGUAGAAUGGCAAAACCAGAAGGCAUUUGGGUGACCUGCUUUGGCCUUUUGACUUUACAGAAGAAGAAACUGUUGCCUGGUGAGAGAAAGAGACUUGCCCAGGGCCACUCACUGGUAGUAGAACUGGGACUAGAACGAGAGCCUCCCAACCCCCAGGCAGGGCCCUUCCUUCUCACAAUGGCAGAACCACAAGAUAUUGACAAUGGAAAGGAUCUUGGAGGUCUCCCUAACACUUCUAAAUACUGAAAGGUUGGACCAACCACAUCAAGAGAGAGCCAACUACGCUGAAGAACGUGUCAUCACCUCCUGAGAGCUGCCUGAAUUGGAGGCGCAGGUCCCAGGAAGUAGUGACUCCUCUUCAGAAGCUGGGUCUGCAAGCCUGUGCAAAUGUGAGGUUUCCGGUUCCCUCCCUCCUCUGGUGGAAGCUGCUAGAGGGCAGACACUACGUAUCUCGAUUCUUUGCUGUCACCUUUCAGCUGUCAGCUCUGAUGUUUCUUCAUCCAACGGGUGCUGAUGGAAGCUCCCCAGCUGCUGGGUCAGUCGCCAGCCAUCUGAGGUGUCGACAGAGAAAGAGAAAGACCAGGAAACCAUUUCUAACAUAGUUGGCCCAGAGCAGAGAGUGAAUCACCAGAAACAGACUGGAAGAGGCUAUAAAACGAAAAUAAAACAGGAUGGUAAUUUAUGAUGAGCAGUAAAAAGGCCUGGGACGCUGAACAGCUAGUGAAGGUUCAUUUCCCUCUACUCUGUGGAUCUUUAACCAUGCUGAGCAUUUCCCUGUCCAGCCUGGCAGCCCCUAAAAUUUGGAAAGCCCUCUGUCCCCCACAUCAAGGUGAGAAAGUAAGGCUGUCUUGACAGCCCUUGGUAUACUGGUUCUCCUCUGCAAAAGCACCUGCCCACAGGGCCCCAAAACCCUUACGAUAAAAUCCAUUUCCAUUGUGCAACACCAUAUAGAUGGUGAGGCACAUUCCCACCCAUUAUCUCAUUUGAUCCUUACAGAAACUCUGGGAGGGGACUUCGUUUUUUUUUUUUUUUAAGAGACGGAGGCUUGCUCUGUCGUUAAGCUGGAGUGCAGUGGUACCAUCUUGGCUCACUGCAACCUCCGCCUCCCAGGUUCAAGUAAUUCCCCUGCCUCAGCCUCCUGAAUAGCUGGGACUACAGGUGUGUGCCACCACACCUGGCUAAUUUUGGGAAGGGCCUUUUAUGAAGACAUAAGGGUACUGAAAAUCACUCACAGCAAAUCAAAGACCCAAGACCUGACAAACCCCAGACCUGGACUCAGGACGACCCAACAACCUAUUUCAAGAUCAAAGUCUUUCUCAAACCUGCCCCAUGAGCCUUGCUAGGAGCAGAAGACUUUGAAAUUUAAGAUAUUAAGUGUAGGCUGUUCCCCUACUUCUACACUCCUCCCAUCCACGAAGCCCCAAAGGCUGGAGCCCAGGUCCAGGACAAAGGGCACCCACAAAGAGCCUAAAGAGCCUCAAGGUGGAGUGAGCCAACUUGAGAGGGAGGCCAGCAAACCUCUCUGAUGUCAGAGCCUUCAGGCAGUGAUUAGGGCAGGCUACCUCUCUGCCUCUCCCUGGCCCUAUCAGGGUGGUCACCCAUGAGUCACUGAAGUUUAUGGAGCCCAUGGGCUGUCCCUGCUCUGAGGAGCCCAGCUGGGUCUCCACAAGGCCUGGCCAGGUAUCCCAAAGGGCUAAGCCAGCCUCUUCCCCACUUACUGGUGGGUGUGAAUUGCUCCUAGCUGCCUGUACCUGUCGACCUCUCGUCCUGUGCAGGGGGGGUGGUGUGUGCCCUCAAGCUCCCAAUCUACAAAGUUCAAAAGUGAGGGCAUGCAGCAACUGGUGAGAGGGCAUCCUUCCAAGCUGGGUUUAGAAGGUGUCUGAAUGAGGAGGGAGGUGCCUGGAAGCAGAGCGGCUCUGGACACCCUCACAUUCGUGUGGCUGUUUCUUGGGUUGACCUGGGGGUCUUCCUAUGGGACUGUCCCUCUGUAGUAUGGUGGAGUAGGAGGGAAGAGGGCCAGAGCUGAGAGCUCUGGGGUGGAGUCCAGUGCCAGUCCUACCACUGACUCAUCAUGUGAGUCACCUCUCUUGAGACCCAGUCACCUCUACUUGUCCAUUUUAUAGUACCCUUGGAAAGUUCCCAUGAGUUAAUGGGUAUGGAAGGACCUGGUAAAUAAAUCAAGUGCCCCUGAGUUGUAGGGUGCUAUAACUAUCAUUAGCUGAGCAAGGAGGUUACCAACAGCCCCAUCCCAUUCCUGAUGCAUCUUGGGGCUAUUUAUGGCGAGUCCCCAGGCCUGCUACCGCCAUCGUGUCCUCAGCACAUCAGGGCUUGCUUGUUCACAUACCCCUCCCUGUGUACAAGCCUGAAACUCAGGGAAAGCAAAUGCAACUCCACAUCAGGCCAAGGUAGAGGACCCGAGGGUCACUGAUCCCGAAUAUUCCCAAGCCCACUCCCUACCCCCACAGACAUCCUUUCUUUUUAAUCAUCCUCUCCCCAUGAUUCCUCAGAGGAAGGAGGAGGCCACCCAGCUCAGAGCCCUGUUCUGCUCUCUGCUCAUCUACCUGAAGCUCAAACUGUCCUGAUCUCCAUGCUUUUCAAGAACAGGUGUCAGCAAAGACCUCAGGCAUCCUCAGCAGAAGGCCUGAGAGCUAUGGUCUCUAAUUGAGGCUGUUCACCGGACGCUGACUUACCGGUCUGAAGACCUCAAGACCCAGAAGACCACUUCUGGUUACUAGGCUGGGCAGCAGCUGCCCUAAGCCUCUCUUUGGUAUUAAUUUCCUAAUCUGCCCCAAGAACCCCAGGUUCUUCUUAGGACAGUUUCUGCUGGCUGUUCCCUUUUAUUUAACCCAGAGUACCCCUUGGGUCACUUGAUACUUGAGAGGAGAAUUCUUUGUUAAGCUAGAGCACAGAUUUCAAAAGUGAUUUUUCAGGGGCGUGGAUGCCACCACCAGGAUCUUAGGGGAUGGCCUCCCCUUGCUCCCCAAAUGCCCAAAUUCUGAACUCUUGGGUGUCCAACCCCACCCAGCCAGUCCCCAAAAACUGCUUCUCCUUCCUCUCUCUUGCUCCGCAACACCUCCUGGCCCCAACAACGCCACUAUUCCUUGAGUGGUUUGACAUAAGUGAAGUAACAGGUAUAAAACUGAGUUUUGAAGUAAUUGACGCAAGAAUUUGGACUCUGGAGAACUUCCCAGAGGAAUGAAAAUCAGCAACGUGGUGGCCUAUUUGGAAAAGACCUGCCAUGAUGAACAAACCCUAACAAUGCUAAGCAGGUCUGUCUGCUCCUUCCAAUUCCUUUUUUUUUUUUUACAUCUAUUGUGCACUUUAUUUCUAUUAUUACUACAUUGUAAUACAUAAUGAAAUAAUUACACAAGUCAUCAUAAUGUAGAAUCAAUGGGAGUCCUGAGCUUGUUUUUCUGCAACUAGAUGGUCCCAUCGUGAAGAGAUAGGAGACAAUGACAUAUCAUCAGGCAUUAGAGUCUCAUAAGGAGCAUGUGACCUAGAUCCCUUGAACAUGCAUUUCACAAUAGGAUUUUCACUCCUAUGAGAAUCUAAUGCCUUUGCUGAUCUGACAGGAGGCAGAGCUCAGGUGAUAAUGUGAGCAACGGGGAGUGGCUGGAAAUACAGACGAAGCUUCACUCGCUUGCCUGCCACUCACCUCUUGCUGUGCAGCCUGGUUCCUAAUAGGUCAUGGACCUGUCCAUGGUUUGCAGGCUGGGGACCCCUGCAAGGAUCCAGAUUUAAAUUCAGAAGAAGCUUCAUCUACUUCUGUAGUUCCAUUUUCUUGCAAUACCUGCUGCAGCAAACUUGAACAUUGCAGGAUUUUCUCAAGCCGCUCAAUUUGGUCAUCUUGCUUUUUAAUAGUUUUUCUUAUCACGGCAUUUUCUACUUCAAGCCUUAUUUUGUGUGCUGCUUCACAUUGUAUUUUUGUGCAUGGCCUUCCGUCUCCAUAGUACAUCUUAUAGUUGCUGUAAGUUGAUCCUGUAUUUCUUGAAAAUUUUAUUCUUAGCCUCAAUUGCAUAAUCUUCUGCAGUCUUUCCAUAUGCAUCUCGAGAAAACACAUCAGUAUUGUGCUGCAGAAGAAGAACGACUAUAUCUUUUUCUCCAAGAUUAACAGCAAGUAUGAGGGCUGAUCUGCUAAGAUAAUCAAUUGCAUUUACAUUUGUGUUUUUCUUUAAUAAAACUUCCACCAUUUUCAGUUUUCUUUGACUCACAGCAAGUAAAAGUGGUUGAUAUUCAUAUGAAGGACAUUUUCCGGGGUGUCCAUGGCCAGAGGACGCUGGCCGGCAGCGGUCAAACUUGAACCGCAAACUAGAAGCCACCGCCAAUUCGAAUCCCAAUUCCUUUUUAAAAACACUAUCAAAGAAUGUGUGACAGAGAAUCCAC